AAUCAACGCUGGCGGCGUGCCUAACACAUGCAAGUCGAACGAGAAAGGGGACUUCGGUCCCUGAGUACAGUGGCGCACGGGUGAGUAACACGUGACUUAUCUACCCUCGAGUGGGGAAUAACUUCGGGAAACCGAGGCUAAUACCGCAUAAUACCCACGGGUCAAAGGAGCAAUUCGCUUGAGGAGGAGGUCGCGGCCGAUUAGUUAGUUGGCGGGGUAAUGGCCCCACCCAAGACGGUGAUCGGUAUCCGGCCUGAGAGGGCGCACGGACACACUGGAACUGAGACACGGCCCAGACUCCUACGGGAGGCAGCAGUGGGGAAUUUUGCGCAAUGGGGGAAACCCUGACGCAGCAACGCCGCGUGGAGGAUGAAGUCUCUUGGGACGUAAACUCCUUUCGAUCGGGACGAUUAUGACGGUACCGGAAGAAGAAGCCCCGGCUAACUUCGUG
rnacentral:rRNA from 1 species